rnacentral:misc_RNA from 1 species
UAACAGCCUCAUGCACUGCACAGACAUGGGGCAUGGCACACAGUGGGGUGCUGUGCACUGAAAUGCAUUGUGGGGAGGGGCAGUCAAGUGCAAUGUUGGCUGUGUGUUGCAAGUAUGCUCACGCAAAAGUCUAUUGUCACAGCCACACACACCUCUCUACAACAAUGAAUGUGUGUACUGCUCAGCACAUACCCA